AGCGGUUCUCAGGUGAUGCACCCCAGAACCAGAGAGGAGGGAGCCCGAUUCCGGGGUGUGUCACCUGAGAACUGCC
rfam:Myotis lucifugus cont2.13052, whole genome shotgun sequence.